rnacentral:lncRNA from 12 species
CCCACCCCGGGUCGGGGCGCCCCCUGGACCCCGGGCACCCGGGUCGCAGGGAUCCGUCAUGCUCGCGCUCGAGGAAGGAACAGAGGGUUCCCGCUGCCCGAGCCACCCCUGGGACCUUGGAGGCAUCCAGGCCGCUCCGCUCCGCCCCCGCCCGGCUAGGAGUGCUGAGGACCGCGGGGACAGCCGGUCACCGGCCAGGAGGCCGCCCCGGACAGUAACGGGGAGCCGCGGAGGGCGGGGCAGUGGGUUUCUCCAGGGGACAGUAAUGCGCCUAAGAACGCUGAACUUCAUGCCGGGGCUUCCCUUACCACCCGGUCCUCGUCCAAGGAGUAAGACCUGAGUAACAAAGCUUAGCCGGAAGCCUGCUUUUCCUUCAUACAGCCCAGCUCCGUGCUGGUUCAGCGUCCUGUGUCAGGUGAAAUUAUUCAUGAGGCUCCGAGCAGAGUUGGUAAGUCUUACCCCUUCCUCCUAGAAAUUCCAAGUGGAUUUAAAUCACUCCCUGGUUGCUGCAGAGGGUCUGUGUUUUAUGGGACUUGUCUACUGAGCUUUGAAGUAUUUGCUCACCAAAUCUGCUUCUCAGCUUCCAGCUCCUGGAUAAAUUACCCGCCCUUCUCUCUGCUGCCACUCCCCCUGCCCCCCUUGAGUGGGAACAGUGGAGACGUUCCCCGGACGAUCGCUUGGAAUGAGAGCUCCGGGACACGGAGUCUGUUGCCAGGCCUGGGACACCCAUGUGCUGCAUGCUUGAAAGAGAGAUUUCAGAUGUCUAACGGAUCGUGCAGGGAAUUGGGGCCCUUGGACCUUAUGCUGUGCACAGAUUUAUCCCUUUCUCACAGGAUCGCUUAACUAGUGUCACCAUUUAGUAUCAAGCCUGGUCGGUCGCCUUGUCAGGAAAAUGGCCAUUAGCACACUCAUACUUUACUCAUACGUUAGAGAACACAUUAAAAUCCUCGUGUUGAAAACAUCUUGGGGCUUCUGUGAGGAUUGCCACUUGCCAGAGGUUAGUGUUAAUUGAUGUCAGGCAGGUCUGUUGCAAAGACUGUAGACUUUUAUUUAUUUUUUGUUUGGUUAGGGCUAGAGAGGGUAAAGAGAAAACGGGCAGCUAAGGGCCUUUCGGGAGCCAGGAGGCAUUUUGCAUCAUCUGCCAAGCUACUUAAAAAAGCAUGGUCACCCGGCCUUCUGGAUGCUCCAGACGGGAUGUGGCGAAGGUGUGCUUUCAGGGGUCUGCCCUUAUGCUCCCUGUGCCUAACAGGCCACUAAAAUCACCAUUCUUCUCAUUUGCACAAUGUGCUCAAGAGAUAAUUAAAGACUUCCCAGGAGACUCAGGAGCAGCCACCGCUGGA